UACGUAGGGGGCAAGCGUUGUCCGGAAUCAUUGGGCGUAAAGCGCGUGUAGGCGGCUCGGUAAGUCCGCUCUGAAAGCCCGGGGGCUCAACCCCCGGGAGGCGGGUGGAUACUGCUGAGCUCGAGUCCGGAAGAGGAGUGUGGAAUUCCUGGUGUAGCGGUGAAAUGCGCAGAUAUCAGGAGGAACACCAAUGGCGAAGGCAGCACUCUGGGACGGUACUGACGCUGAGACGCGAAAGCGUGGGGAGCAAACAGG
rnacentral:rRNA from 1 species